UACGUAGGGUGCGAGCGUUGUCCGGAAUUAUUGGGCGUAAAGAGCUCGUAGGCGGCUUGUCGCGUCGGAUGUGAAAGCCCGGGGCUUAACUCCGGGUCUGCAUUCGAUACGGGCAGGCUAGAGUUCGGUAGGGGAGAUCGGAAGUUCCUGGUGUAGCGGUGAAAUGACGCAGAUAUCAGGAGGAACACCGGUGGCGAAGGCGGAUCUCUGGGCCGAUACUGACGCUGAGGAGCGAAAAGCGUGGGGGAGCGAACAGG
rnacentral:rRNA from 1 species